rnacentral:lncRNA from 1 species
GGAGAGGGCGUGAUAGUAGAAAAAGAUGUCUAGACCUUGUCGGCCUCAACAUGAUCGAUUCUCCAGCAACCAAUCAAAGCGGCAUGAACCCAUGGGAAGGAAAAUGUGCCCCAAUAGAAGAAUGGAUCUCAAUGUAGCAGGUGCAGAUGAUUCCACUUAGAGUAGGAUUACUGUUGAUUUUUCGAGGCUUGUUUCAGUUGUGGUCAAUAAGGCCACAAGGCUGUAAAUUGCCCAUAUCGCCAAAACUCAAGAUACCAAUAGCCACCCUAAAAUGCAUCC